rnacentral:rRNA from 1 species
GAUGAACGCUAGCUACAGGCUUAACACAUGCAAGUCGAGGGGAAACGACAUCGAAAGCUUGCUUUUGAUGGGCGUCGACCGGCGCACGGGUGAGUAACGCGUAUCCAACCUGCCCACCACUUGGGGAUAACCUUGCGAAAGUAAGACUAAUACCCAAUGACGUCUCUAGAAGACAUCUGAAAGGGAUUAAAGAUUUAUCGGUGAUGGAUGGGGAUGCGUCUGAUUAGCUUGUUGGCGGGGUAACGGCCCACCAAGGCAACGAUCAGUAGGGGUUCUGAGAGGAAGGUCCCCCACAUUGGAACUGAGACACGGUCCAAACUCCUACGGGAGGCAGCAGUGAGGAAUAUUGGUCAAUGGGCGAGAGCCUGAACCAGCCAAGUAGCGUGCAGGACGACGGCCCUAUGGGUUGUAAACUGCUUUUAUAGGGGAAUAAAGUGAGCCACGUGUGGCUUUUUGCAUGUACCCUAUGAAUAAGGACCGGCUAAUUCCGUG